rnacentral:rRNA from 1 species
GAUGAACGCUGGCGGCGUGCCUAAUACAUGCAAGUCGAGCGAACGGACGAGAAGCUUGCUUUUCUGAUGUUAGCGGCGGACGGGUGAGUAACACGUGGAUAACCUACCUAUAAGACUGGGAUAACUUCGGGAAACCGGAGCUAAUACCGGAUAAUAUUUUGAACCGCAUGGUUCAAAAGUGAAAGACGGUCUUGCUGUCACUUAUAGAUGGAUCCCCGCUGCAUUAGCUAGUUGGUAAGGUAACGGCUUACCAAGGCAACGAUGCAUAGCCGACCUGAGAGAGGGGUAGCCCACCCGGGAGGGUGAACGGGCACAGUGGUCCUACGGGAGGACGCAGAAGGAUAUUGUACGCAGUGGGGGAAAGCCUGACGGAACAGGCCGGAGUGGGUGACAGAGUCUUCGGGUUCGAAAAACUUUUUUUUGGGGAAAAAACAGAUUUGGAAUGAGAUGUACACUUAGUGACGGUACUUAGUAAAAAAGCACCGGCUAACUACGUG